CUUUCUCUUUUGCUCCCCUCCCCUCCAAUUCUUUAAUGUUUUAUUCAUUCUAGGAAGAUGCCAGAACAUAUAUGGAUUUUUAUUUAUUUAUUUUUUUUAAGUUAAUUUUGACCAGUCAUCAGUGCUUAGUACGAGAUGGACGAUGAUGGCUUUGGCUAAAUUAUGAGCCCUUUUGCUUGAAGCUCUGGCUCCACAGGUGAUCACCAUCUGAUGUCAGCAGAAAAGGAGAAACUUCGUAUACUGAUCAGUGGUCAUUGCUUCUUCCUUCUCUUGGGAAACUCAACUUUUCAGGAAACGCAGGAAAGUGGGGACAGACCACAUAUCAAUUGAUGAACUUAGAUGCCAAAUCAGAUUCAGGAUUUCCAGUGAGACCAAAGAAGAAAGAGAGAAAAGGAAAUAGGAGGGAAAAAAAGAACCUUGUCGAGUUCUGCACAUUCUCUCCUGAUGCUGGCAUCAGCUGUGGAGGUACUGCUAGAUCUUCAUUAAGCACUCUCUGAGCUUGAUUACGGUAACGGAUUUCUGUCUUCUCUGGUUGUCCUCUACGCACUUCAGUACUCCAAAAUCCAUUUGGGUUCCUCCUUCCCAGGUUAUCAAGAUGAGCAAGACUUUAUUGAAGUUGUAGGAUGAAUGGGGAUGGCCUGAGUCCAAAACUUACUUGGGCAUGAAGGUUUGUUUAGCUACCAAUGAGAUGAAAGGUGGGUGGAGACCCUGCUCACAUUGUUCUAAAACCAAGAAAAAAUACUACAGAAAUUGAAAGCAGUUUUUAAGGGAAAAAAACAUUACUCUCUCUCUUAGGGUGAGGUAUUGCUCAUUAGAAGAGGUGCAACUGAAAUUUUAGAUAUGUCCUGGAAUAUUCAAAGUUAACUAAAACAUUUUGCGAAAUUUGUCAAAUCUGGCUCAGGUUCUGAGUUUGUAACAGUUCAGGCUCUAGAUCACUUUGUUCUGUGUACUUUCCACAUAGCAUGUAUGAGUAUGUUCAACAACAUAAUAACGUAAUGCAGUGCAUUAGAUGUAAGCAUCAGUCCAGCAGCUCAGCAAAUCACCUGCUGGCUGGGGGACCAUGGGAACAUUGCUGCUGCCUGCCUGCCUGUUGCUCCUGUUGUUGGCUGUGCUCCCACCAGGCUGUUAUGUACGGACAGGAGUCACAGUUACAAUCCAACUCCUAUGCCCAGUCACCGUAGAAGAAGUUCAUCUGGAUAACUAAUCUGCUCCCCACAGAGGCACCAGAUGGAGCGACCUGCCCCUUCUGGGCAUUGCUGCCUCACUGGUGGACCAGCAGUUCAGAUGUUGACCACAUCAGCUGCCAUCAGUGAAUGGCUUAAGUUGAGCAGAAUGGGUCAUCUAACUCUUGGCUGAGCAGAGGAAGAAUAAUCUGGUAGAGCCACAACUGACAUCAGCUACGAUGCCAUCCUCCAAGCCGUCCUUUAAAUAUGUGGAGUGGGAAGUAUGUAUGAGAAGUGAAGGCUACACAAGACAAGUAUAUCUUCUUGUGGUCUCAGGACACAGCUCCAGCAGUGGAUGUCCCACAGGCAAAGUCCAAGGCUGCCUGUCAUUGGGAUGGAAAGGUUUUUCUCUAGCCAAAGACCAGAGAGUUACAUGCCACAGAACUUGCACUGUAAUUAAUCGCUUGGUGACAUUUCAACAUGUGAGGAAAAAAAAGGAAAAAAAAAAAAAAAGUCUGUCUCUUUCACUUUAGAGUGAAAAACUGUGAAGUCUGUCUGUAAACAUUCUGAUCAGACAUUAAUUUCAUAGCAGUCUCGUUUUGAUGCCUGCCACUGCUGUGUCAUCUGGGCUUUUUCAUUCGUUCUGUGCAUUUGUUAUUUUAAUCUUAAAAUGUCUAUCUGUGCAAUUCAGUUGAGAGAUUUCUGUUUUCAAUAAUAUAUUUGCCAUAAUGCUUUCCUUCCUCCUUCAGACCUCUCUGAAAUCAAGCACUGCAGUCCACUGACAUGUUGACAGUUUUGCAUGAAUUUAUGAAAAAGGAGUUGGAAUUGGCUGACAAAGAUUUGUUUAUUAUUAUUAAACUGACUGUGCGUCUAAGUUGCUCUUCUGAAAAUAAAAUUAAGAG